GCCAGUAUGCCACUGCACCGAUCUUACCAUCCCAGAAAUGGUGGACCAACCGGCAACCACUAGACUAAAGUGAUAGCUGUGCUCCUUGGUGCAGGAACAAAAACAGGAACAAAGCGGUAUGGCAGGGAAACAAAGAGGAAAAGACACACCUAGGAGAAGAGGAAGUUUGGCAGGGGCCCGGGAACCUUGGAGACUAACGACACAACCUAUGUGACCACAUCGAGCAGAGCAGCAUAAAUAAAUAAACGGGAGAGAGGUCACCCGCGGACGGGAAUCAGGCGGAAAGGGAACCUUCUGGAAAGCUGUGGUGUACUGAUUUGCGCAGGGAAAGUGUCCAACUGCAGCAGGUACCUGUCUGUAAACGACUAGUAAUUGUGCAUUUCUCAUGUAGGACAGCUUCCCCUCACUCCACACAUAUAUGUGGAGUCCUGAUUCUCCACAAUGGUCCCAAGCCACUUCAGGGAAAGAGUGGUCCAAAUGGAACAUGUGACAGUCGGAAUCAAUCCCCCCUCACACUGCUGAGAAUGCUGUAGAAGAGGUGCACUAGCUGGCAGGUCCUCUAUCUGGGAUGUACCGAUGUUGCUCGGCAUCACUUUUUACGGAUUACAGAAUGUAAAAAGCAGGGCGAUCCGCUUGGAUGACAUUCAGCACUUUUCUCUAGCGAAGCCUCCGGUAACCUUUCCCUGGGUCUGUGACUUUGUACCGUGACAGACGAGUCAAAAACCCCCAGUGGCCAAUGUAUAGCUUAGCAGUGCAGAGAAUGAAAAUUCUCAGACUGAAGCUGCUCUAUAUCCGACUUUCCCACAGCUGCUGGGAACAUACCUUUCCGCCUCUGGAUUUGGCAAUCCUUGCUGAUUUUAUGCUCAAUAAUCAUAAUAUUAGAGUCAGUACACUAAUUCCUGGGAUUGUUGUAGUGGUGGAUAUAAUUGCACCAACAUGACUUAGCAAUUAGCGCCUUAGCCUCACAGCUACACAGGGGUUGGUUUGUCCCUUGCUCAGUGUUUGCGGAGUUUGUGUGUUUUCUGCAGGCUUCCUUCAGGUACUCCACUUUCCUCCUGUACCCCAAAAUUCCUUGUGGUUUGGUGAGCCGGUGCCUGACGAUGGACUGGCAUCUUUCACAUCCGCCUCGGUGCCCGUGCUACCGAGCCUACCGGCUCACGCUCAACCUGAACUGCAUAAGCGGUUAUGGAAGAUGGAUAAAGAGAUUAUUCACUUACGUGGGGCUGAGAGCAGCUGAAGUAGCCAUAACAAGGAAAACAAUACUGUACAAUGUGUCAUUUUAUCCUCAGAAGGACAGGCGUCCGUUGCAAUAAACAGAGAUUGACUUUAAUUAUUAUUGUCGCAAGUUAUGUGUGACGUUAAAUAUCUGAGUUUUCCCUUACAAAAGAAGGAGCUGAGAAGGAGGGCGGAGUGGUUAGCGGUCGGUCCAACGGCAGAAGGUGCGGUGACAGGAGCAGCUGUGGCACGCCAUACAUGACCCCCCCCCCAGUCACACACAGGCACAGCUACAUUAGAUGGCAAUUGUAGAGGAUGGGGGGGGGGCAGCUCCAGCUGACACACGAGGUUGUACCAGUCACAUGCUGCCCAGCACUGAUGCCUGAUGUAUCCUCGGCUGCUCCAAUGGAAAGAAAACGUAAACAAUGACCCACCUCAAGUGAAUCGGCUUAAGGGGUCUUGGUGGGUGGGGUGGGGGGGUGAGACAGAAGGCCGCUAAUCACUCCUCUCUCCUCUUCCUGACUUGAAUUGUCGUGCUUCAGUAGAGCUUCCUGAAAUGUCUGAGUGGAUCGUGAGACAAUGGGGAGAGGCAAAGGACUCCUGCUUUUAUUGAUCUGAAAGCUAAUGCUCUGACCCAGCCCUCUGGCCGUGGUUCUCGGGACUUGACACCCAGAAAUGUGCCGAUCCAGACCUGGGGAAACAUGCUGUCGCACCCACUAGGAAAGGACUCGUUCAGAUUUUUUCACAGAUAUAUCCAGGUUGGAUAGAAACAUAGAAAAAGAUGCAUAAGUGUCUAUAGCUAAAAGUGAUAUUAAAAAUCAAAAAUGAUCAAUAUUCCCAAUAUAUCCUACUCCAAUUUAUAGAAAAAUCUAGGGGAAAAAACUGAAUGAGGGCAAAUGUCAUACAAGUUAAUGGUAACAGAGUGUUUUUUUUUUUUUUUUCAAUUUUUUCAAUUCUCAUGUUCUCUCCUGUGAACACUUUGUAGAACUUUGACCUCGGCGUGCUCUGCAAAGAAUGCAAGCUAAAUGAUUUUUGGAAUAGAUCUAUUCUGUCAAGCGAGAACGUCCAGUAUGUUCUCUUUGUUCCUGAACCAUGUUCUCUUCUUCCCCUGGUGCCUAGUUAGCCGUUCUGCUGUAUUGUCCUCUGUGGGCUUGGCUGACUGCCUGAAUCAAAUACUUGUCGAGGUACGAAGAUCUGUUCUCCUUCCUUACUGCGAUUAAAUCAAGUUAGACGUCAUUUUAAAGGCUCCUUCUUACUUCAUAGGCAGCUUUUUUCAUCUGUGUAAUUUGCUGCCGGGAUCUUAAAAUAACCUCGGUGACAAAGUACAGAACUCUACAACUAUGACAGCAUUUGUUUCUGACAUUCACCCUAAGCCCUUUAGACCUGAGCUGAUCUUACUGUUUCUUUUAAAUAAUCCUAUUGUGAAAGCCAGCGUGGUACCGCCUUAGCAAACAGCGCUUCCCGUGCCUCACAAAUACGGUGGUAAAUGUCUUAUUUUUAACAUUGUAAAUAGCUAUCGUGUGCUUUCAUCUGCAUUCCAGAAAUCGUAUAGAAUCGGUUUAAGUCGUCAGCUUUCCAUAGGAUUUCUUCUGUCAUAAAAUAUCAACACAGUUGAUGUUCUGAAUUUUCCUAACUCUGCAAAAUGCAAUAUCCGGUGUUCUGCAUGGCUCAGUUCCAAGGCUAAUGAUCUUUUCAUUCUAUAGUCCGCUGCUUAAAAUUAGCAUCCACAGGACACGACUCACCUUCACAAACAUGUGGCUGAUAGGAAACUUUAUCCGGUUAUUAAAUCAGAUUAGACAUUCUGCAGCUAAAACUGUCCUUUAACUUCAGUUACACCACUGAACCACACUGACCAGAAUCUCUUCCAAGCGUCAUAUUGUCCUGAGUGUGCCGUAUCUCUUGGAAUCAUUUGAAAGAUUUCGACUUUCCACAUCGGCUGCCCUUUUUCUGGAAUAGCACCUAAUUGCUGCCAUACUGUCUAUUCAGAAAAAUUUCCGGCACCCUACACAGUAUUUUAAAAUGUGUGUGGAUCCUCAUGCAGAGGAAGAUCUCCUGGGACACCGAUGAAGGAGCCUCUGUCUGAGUAUUUUGCAACGUUGCUGGUAAAGACCCCAAUGCGCCAGCAGUCAACACGAAAGUCCACCACAGGGAUCGGAGGGCAGGCAACCCUCAGAAUAAACUCAGACGCCAUGCCAUCAGAAAUGCUCCAGGACAUCAGCAGAGAUGCUGCCCAGGGCCUUGAUCCCUGGUGAUAAUGUCAUCAUUGCGUACCCGGUUAUUUUCCCUAUGAAGGUGUCAGAAGUUAAAGCAGCCAUGAUCCACGUUAGCAGUUAUGAAACGGUCACUGCAGGUUGGAUAGUGAUGUCUUUGUCAUGUUACUGCCACAUCUACCCCCUCCAUCUCUGGUCAUCCUCCUUACUCCGUCCACAUUGUCUCUUCUGCUUCUUCCUCUCUUCCUCAUCCCCUUUUCCCCAACCCAUCUCAAAGCUCACGGAGUACAAAACUCCUCGGCCUGCACCGCUGCACUAGACAACAACUUCGGUUUAGCUUAAUCGGAGACGCUUCCCUUCCAACAGGACUUACGUAACUCACAGUAAAAUACAGAUUUUUUCCCCAGAAGUGCCGGUAACUGGCUCUAGGGAAGAAGAGUGAGUUUUACUUGUGGAUCUUCAAGCGGAAACAACCUGGAGCAGCAGAGCACAGGUCUCAUUACAGGCUUCCUUUAACUGGCCCCCGUAGAGCAGGAAAAGCCCCACAGCAGCAGUGGCAGCGACACCCCGGCCCGUGGCUCCCAAAGUGCCGCAUGCUUCCUCAAUUCCAGCAGCCUGUUCUCCCCUCAGCCACGCCUCCUGUUUUGAGCCCCCCCAUGGUUUGGGCAAGGCGACAUCAGCCUGCUGGGCCCAGGUGACUCGUCAGACACGCCCGCGUCUGCAGGCUGCUUUGCACGGGUUCCGGGCGUGACAAGGAUGGAAUGCAGCGCGUGCACCCCUAGCCGCACCCCUAGCCGCACCCCGAGCCGCACCCCUUGGCCCAGACGCCCCGCUGUGUCUGUCUACAGACUGGAUGCCUUUUCUUGGGGCCUCGUGUUGAUUCUU